rnacentral:rRNA from 1 species
UACGUAGGGUGCGAGCGUUAAUCGGAAUUACUGGGCGUAAAGCGUGCGCAGGCGGUGAUGUAAGACAGGUGUGAAAUCCCCGGGCUUAACCUGGGAACUGCAUUUGUGACUGCAUCGCUGGAGUGCGGCAGAGGGGGAUGGAAUUCCGCGUGUAGCAGUGAAAUGCGUAGAUAUGCGGAGGAACACCAAAGGCGAAGGCAGUGUCCUGGGGAGUACCUGACGCUCAGGUGCGAAAGCCAGGGAGCGAACGGG